rnacentral:misc_RNA from 1 species
AGGGUGAUGAUACACUAUGAUGCCCCCAUAAGGACCAUGCACAUAGGAAUUAGCAAUAAGAAGAGCAAUUUUACUAUUUGACAAUGAACAGCGAAUCACUGCCAGGACAACCAAAUGCAGUGUGGUCUUUCUUUCUUUAUUUUUGGUUAUUAAGCAAAUUCAAUGACAAGUAUAAAUUUACCAGUCCAUAAUACUUUAAGCAAACAUGUAUUCUGCUCAGUUUGGUGCAAGCUUAUG